GAUGAACGCUGACAGAAUGCUUAACACAUGCAAGUCAACUUGAAUUUGGGUUUAUAACUUAGGUUUGGGUGGCGGACGGGUGGGUAACGCGUAAAGAACUUGCCUCACAGCUAGGGACAACAUUUAGAAAUGAAUGCUAAUACCUAAUAUUAUGGUUAUAGGGCAUCCUAUAAUUAUGAAAGCUAAAUGCACUGUGAGAGAGCUUUGCGUCCCAUUAGCUAGUUGGAGAGGUAACAGCUCACCAAGGCGAUGAUGGGUAGCCGGCCUGAGAGGGUGAACGGCCACAAGGGGACUGAGACACGGCCCUUACUCCUACGGGAGGCAGCAGUGGGGAAUAUUGGACAAUGGACCAAGAGUCUGAUCCAGCAAUUCUGUGUGCACGAUGAAGUUUUUCGGAAUGUAAAGUGCUUUCAAUUGGGAAGAAAAAAAUGACGGACCAACAG
rnacentral:rRNA from 1 species